UACGGAGGGUGCAAGCGUUAUCCGGAUUCACUGGGUUUAAAGGGUGCGUAGGUGGGCAGGUAAGUCAGUGGUGAAAGCUCCGGGCUUAACCCGGAAACUGCCAUUGAUACUAUCAGUCUUGAAUACCGUGGAGGUAAGCGGAAUAUGUCAUGUAGCGGUGAAAUGCUUAGAUAUGACAUAGAACACCAAUUGCGAAGGCAGCUUACUACCCGAAUAUUGACACUGAGGCACGAAAGCGUGGGGAUCAAACAGG
rnacentral:rRNA from 1 species